rnacentral:rRNA from 1 species
UACGAAGGGGGCUAGCGUUGGUUCGGAAUCACUGGGCGUAAAGGGCGCGUAGGCGGCUUUAUAAGUCGGGGUGAAAGCCUGUGGCUCAACCACAGAAUUGCCUUCGAUACUGUAGAGCUUGAGACCGGAAGAGGUAAGUGGAACUGCGAGUGUAGAGGUGAAAUUCGUAGAUAUUCGCAAGAACACCAGUGGCGAAGGCGGCUGUCUGGUCCGGUUCUGACGCUGAGGCGCGAAAGCGUGGGGAGCAAACAGG